UUUCCUUCUCUCACCAAGGCACUCUUAGCUCUCUUCCCAUCGAGGGGAUGUCUAACAACCUCCAAGCCUCCACCUGUCUCAUAAGUAAUAUAUUAUAGAUCAGUUCUUUCUGAAGCAAGCACAUCAUGCCUUCGUACAUGCAGGAGUUUGGCUGUACCUUCAUUUACCUCACAAGAAGAAAAACACCUUUAGGGCUUCUUCUCUGCUGUUUGGUAUCCUUAAUGCUUUACAUCUUCAAGGGACUGCAGACAUGUUAACUAUUGUAAUUAAUACUUUCAGCAGAGAUUAAGUAUUAU